rnacentral:rRNA from 1 species
CAGAGUUUGAUCCUGGCUCAGGAUGAACGCUAGCUACAGGCUUAACACAUGCAAGUCGAGGGGCAUCAGGAAGAAAGCUUGCUUUCUUUGCUGGCGACCGGCGCACGGGUGAGUAACACGUAUCCAACCUGCCCUUUACUCGGGGAUAGCCUUUCGAAAGAAAGAUUAAUACCCGAUAGCAUAAUGAUUCCGCAUGGUUUCAUUAUUAAAGGAUUCCGGUAAAGGAUGGGGAUGCGUUCCAUUAGGUUGUUGGUGAGGUAACGGCUCACCAAGCCUUCGAUGGAUAGGGGUUCUGAGAGGAAGGUCCCCCACAUUGGAACUGAGACACGGUCCAAACUCCUACGGGAGGCAGCAGUGAGGAAUAUUGGUCAAUGGGCGCUAGCCUGAACCAGCCAAGUAGCGUGAAGGAUGAAGGCUCUAUGGGUCGUAAACUUCUUUUAUAUAAGAAUAAAGUGCAGUUAUG